UGGGGGAUAUUGCACAAUGGGCGCAAGCCUGAUGCAGCGACGCCGCGUGGGGGAUGAAGGCCUUCGGGUUGUAAACUUCUUUUGCUCUGAACAAGGCGCACUUUGGGGUGUGUUGAGUGUAGGGGUUGAUUAGCGCCGGCUAACUACGUGCCAGCAGCCGCGGUAAUACGUAGGGCGCGAGCGUUGUCCGUAAUUAUUGGGCGUAAAGGGCUUGUAGGUGGCUGGUUGCGUCUGUCGUGAAAGCUCAUGGCUUAACUGUGGGUUUGCGGUGGGUACGGGCUGGCUUGAGUGCAGUAGGGGAGGCUGGAAUUCCUGGUGUAGCGGUGGAAUGCGCAGAUAUCAGGAGGAAUACCGGUGGCGAAGGCGGGUCUCUGGGCUGUUACUGACACUGAGGAGCGAAAGCAUGGGGAGCGAACAGG
rnacentral:rRNA from 1 species